rnacentral:rRNA from 1 species
CCUACGGGUGGCAGCAGUAGGGAAUAUUGCUCAAUGGGGGAAACCCUGACGCAGCAACGCCGCGUGGAGGAUGAAGGUUUUCGGAUUGUAAACUCCUGUUGUUAGAGAAGAUCGUGCAGGUAUCUAACGAAUAGGCACCGGAUAACUCCGUGCCAGCAGCCGCGGUAUUACGGAGGGUGAAAGCGUUACGCGGCAUCACUGGGCGGAAAGUGCUCGUAGGCGGGAUAGCAAGUCAGAGGUGAAAUCCCAUGGCUUAACCAUAGAACUGCAUUUGAAACUGUUAUUCUAGAGUAUGUGAGAGGGUGGUGGAAUUCUAGGUGUAGGAGUAAAAUCCGUAGAGAUCAAGAGGAAUA